UACGGAGGGGGCUAGCGUUGUUCGGAAUUACUGGGCGUAAAGCGCACGUAGGCGGCUUUGUAAGUUAGAGGUGAAAGCCCGGGGCUCAACUCCGGAAUUGCCUUUAAGACUGCAUCGCUAGAAUUGUGGAGAGGUAAGCGGAAUUCCGAGUGUAGAGGUGAAAUUCGUAGAUAUUGGGAAGAACACCGGUGGCGAAGGCGGCGAGCUGGUCCAUUACUGACGCUGAGGCGCGACAGCGUGGGGAGCGAACAGG
rnacentral:rRNA from 1 species